rnacentral:lncRNA from 1 species
CCGAAUUCAAAGUAUUUAAUAAUGAUGCACGAUACUUGAUAACAAAUAGAGAACAUCUCUAUAUGUAUAAUUUAAUGUCCAAAUAGUUCAACUCGAGAAACAAUCGAAAAACAAACAAGAGUUAGAACUCGAGAAUUAUCAAUGUGAACAUGAUUUGGUUGUUGUUGUGGUGAAAAAAUUCGAGCAUUAGCGUCAGCCAGGGUCUACGCAGUAAUCAGCCAUCCUUGUUCAUUAUCAUCGCCUUGAAUUCCAUAGUUUCCUGUAAAUACAAUUGUAGAAAUAUCAGUUUCUGAAACUAGCAAUGCCACUAACCCAACGGUUAAAAAUAAUUUUUAGAGUAAUUUUUAAAUAUAUAUAAUUGUAUAUACAUACUUAGCAAAUUUUCUUACAUCCUCAAAAUACUUUUACAAUUUUUUUUUGUCUAAUACAUGUAUUAUCUAUGGGAGGCAAUUCUGUUCGUGCUGAGAACAUCCACACUCUGGUAGGGCUAGCUCUCUCCCAACGGGUUUUUGCUCAUACACAAAACACGAACUCAAGACCUAGCUUAUAAAAUUAAUAUGAAUAUAUAAAAAACAUGUCAUGGCUUCACUUACCUAGAGAAAUUAGCAGUUGUUUCUGGCUU